GUAAUAUGUAGGUAGGAACCAACAAUGAAAGUGAUAUCUUUUUCAUCCUCUUGAAUGUUCUUAUAAUAUGUGUACAUAUUUAUAUUAUGAAACAGAAUGAACAAUUGCAAACAAAAUGCGCACGUUAGUAAGACAUAUGUUCAUACUAAUUAAUAUAACAUUAUAGUUGUCAUUAGUAUUGAACAAUCCUAAAUAUUAAACAUAAUAUGCAUCAACUAUUACAUCGCCAUCAAUCCAUUCUCUUGGCAGAAGGCUAUGCAUGCUGCUCCAAGUUGUAUUGCUGUCUCUUAUAUCCACCAUGACUUUCCUUUUCCCGUGAACGUAAGUUUGAGUAACCCAUUCUUUCAUCUCUCUUUUUGUACCUUACCUUUUGUUCAAGUGGAAGUUCUUUGUAGGUUUUGCAAAAGAAAACUAUAGAAAAUUUUCUGAUCUAGAAUACUCUUUUUAAUUACUAAAAAUCUAAUACAAGUAGAGUACUUAUAUUAUUUAGUUUCAUAAGCAGAGUUUUUUAUUAACUAAGGUCAAACUAAAAGCAUACAUGACCGUAUAUACAUAACAUAAUGUUCUGAGAUGGAAAUGCAUAAUAGAAUUGAGCUGAGCUGGCACUUUUGUAACUGUUGUUGCUAAGCUGGAUUUUCAUGCUCAACUGUUGUUGACCUUCCUCAUUUGACUGCAUAAUAAGCCCUCUUAACAUCCUUUCUCAAACUUAAUGGGUAAGGUUGCACAUUAAGUUUGGCUCCAAAGAAAUUCAACUAAGUAAAAGCAAGUGGCUUAGUUAAGACUCGAGCUGGCAAAACGGGUUACCGGUCGUGUUUGUAUCAUGUUAGCUUCGUGUCAUGUCAAAUUUAGGUUGAUCCAAACAGAACCCAUUUAAUAAUCAUGUCAAAAUAUUGAAACCCAAACCUGACACAUAAAAUAGGCGGGUUACCCAAUAACCCGUUUAAUAUCUAUAUAUUUAACAAAUGU
rnacentral:lncRNA from 1 species